CCUACGGGAGGCAGCAGUGAGGAAUAUUGGUCAAUGGACGAGAGUCUGAACCAGCCAAGUAGCGUGAAGGAUGACUGCCCUAUGGGUUGUAAACUUCUUUUAUAUGGGAAUAAAACGUUCCACGUGUGGGAUUUUGUAUGUACCAUAUGAAUAAGGAUCGGCUAACUCCGUGCCAGCAGCCGCGGUAAUCCGGAGGAUCCGCGCGUUAUCCGGAUUUAUUGGGUUUAAAGGGAGCGUAGGUGGAUUGUUAAGUCAGUUGUGAAAGUUUGCGGCUCAACCGUAAAAUUGCAGUUGAAACUGGCAGUCUUGAGGACAGUAGAGGUGGGCGGAAUUCGUGGUGUAGCGGUGAAAUGCUUAGAUAUCACGAAGAACUCCGAUUGCGAAGGCAGUUCACUGGACUGCAACUGACACUGAGGCUCGAAAGUGUGGGUAUCAAACAGGAUUAGAUACCCCAGUAGUC
rnacentral:rRNA from 1 species